GGGGAAUUUUUGCUUUGUGCCCUGAACUUUGUGGGCCGUUUUGGGCGAUAUACCAUAUUAGUCCGCCUCAGUGGGAUCUCUAUUUAUGCGCCGCACUAUCGAAACGGCGCGCAUCUAUGACGUCAUCACGUUAUACGUCCAUGUGAUCCCACAGCCUAUAUAAACCUGAUGCUCAUGCAAUGGCGCUGUGUCACCGUGUGUACACCCUGGGACACAGACGCAUUGCUGCUGCAAUCAGUUAUAGGGCCUGUACAAAAGCCCCAUACAAAGGCUGCUACAGAAAGGGUUUCUCUAUGUAAGCCCCUCCACAUUGCUGUUAUACUGCCAUCUGUUGUCCCAGUGUGCUCAGGACUUCAU